rnacentral:sRNA from 1 species
UGGUCAAGCCCCUCGAUGUUGGGAAGAA